rnacentral:sRNA from 1 species
UUAUUUUUAAGACUAAAACACACACAUAUCAUAAGCCGAAAAUCGGGUGCUUAUGUAAUUUAAGUUGAUUUAUCGGGAUAUGUGGAGGCUAAAC